GAUGAACGCUGGCGGCGUGCCUAAUACAUGCAAGUCGAGCGAACAGACGAGGAGCUUGCUCCUCUGACGUUAGCGGCGGACGGGUGAGUAACACGUGGAUAACCUACCUAUAAGACUGGGAUAACUUCGGGAAACCGGAGCUAAUACCGGAUAAUAUAUUGAACCGCAUGGUUCAAUAGUGAAGGACGGUUUUGCUGUCACUUAUAGAUGGAUCCGCGCCGCAUUAGCUAGUUGGUAAGGUAACGGCUUACCAAGGCAACGAUGCGUAGCCGACCUGAGAGGGUGAUCGGCCACACUGGAACUGAGACACGGUCCAGACUCCUACGGGAGGCAGCAGUAGGGAAUCGUCAGAAAUGGGCGAAAGCCUGACGGAGCAACGCCGCGUGAGUGAUGAAGGUCUUCGGAUCGUAAAACUCUGUUAUUAGGGAAGAACAAAUGUGUAAGUAACUAUGCACGUCUUGACGGUACCUAAUCAGAAAGCCACGGCUAACUACGUG
rnacentral:rRNA from 1 species